AGUGAACGCUGGCGGUAGGCCUAACACAUGCAAGUCGAACGGCAGCACAGUAAGAGCUUGCUCUUACGGGUGGCGAGUGGCGGACGGGUGAGGAAUACAUCGGAAUCUACUUUUUCGUGGGGGAUAACGUAGGGAAACUUACGCUAAUACCGCAUACGACCUACGGGUGAAAGCAGGGGAUCUUCGGACCUUGCGCGAUUGAAUGAGCCGAUGUCGGAUUAGCUGGUUGGCGGGGUAAAGGCCCACCAAGGCGACGAUCCGUAGCUGGUCUGAGAGGAUGAGGAGCGACACUGGAAAUGAGACGAGGUCAAGACUCAGAAGGGAGGCACAAGUGGGGGAUAGUGGACAAGGGGCGCGAGUCUGAAACAGCCAUACCGGGUAGGAGAAGAAGGCAUUCGGGUUGUGAAGCCCUUUUGUUGGGAAAGAAAAGCAGCAGGUGGAUAACCCGCUGGUCUGACGGUAGGAAAAGAAUAAGAAAAGGCUAACUUCGAG
rnacentral:rRNA from 1 species